rnacentral:rRNA from 1 species
UACGUAGGGGGCUAGCGUUGUCCGGAAUCAUUGGGCGUAAAGAGCGCGUAGGCGGCCAGAUAAGUCCGGUGUGAAAGUCACAGGCUCAACCUGUGAAUGCCGCUGGAAACUGUCUGGCUAGAGUCCGGAAGGGGCGAGUGGAAUUCCUGGUGUAGCGGUGAAAUGCGCAGAUAUCAGGAGGAACACCAAUGGCGAAGGCAGCUCGCUGGGACGGUACUGACGCUGAGGCGCGAAAGCGUGGGAGCAAACAGG